rnacentral:rRNA from 1 species
UACGUAGGGUGCAAGCGUUGUUCGGAAUUACUGGGCGUAAAGGGUUCGUAGGUGGCUCGCUAAGUCACACGUGAAAUCCCUCAGCUUAACUGGGGAACUGCGUGUGAGACUGGCAAGCUCGAGUGCAGGAGAGGAAUGCGGAAUUCCAGGUGUAGCGGUGAAAUGCGCAGAUAUCAGGAGGAACACCAACGGCGAAGGCAGCACUCUGGGCCGGUACUGACGCUGAGGAGCGAAAGCGUGGGGAGCAAACAGG